rnacentral:rRNA from 1 species
GUAGGUGGCAAGCGUUGUCCGGAAUUAUUGGGCGUAAAGCGCGCGCAGGCGGUCCUUUAAGUCUGAUGUGAAAGCCCACGGGCUCAACCGUGGAGGGUCAUUGGAAACUGGGGGACUUGAGUACAGAAGAGGAAAGCGGAAUUCCACGUGUAGCGGUGAAAUGCGUAGAGUUGUGGAGGAACACCAGUGGCGAAGGCGGCUUUCUGGUCUGUAACUGACGCUGAGGCGCGAAAGCGUGGGGAGCAAACAGGAUUAGAUACCCUGGUAGUCCACGCCGUAAACGAUGAGUGCUAAGUGUUAGGGGGUUUCCGCCCCUUAGUGCUGCAGCUAACGCAUUAAGCACUCCGCCUGGGGAGUACGGCCGCAAAGGCUGA